AAUACUCCUGUGCAGAGCUGUAACACAGUGCAGGGUCGGAGACGGGGAUCACGAGGGUUUGCUGCUCACAGACAGCCUGGGGGAAACCACAGUGAACUCAGGAUCAAUGCAGGACCUGCUUCAGGGAAACACAAUAGAGCAGAGCACACGAUGUCCUUCCGUGUCCUUUACACAUGUGUGCAUGGGUGUGCACAUUCCCACAGACAUUCAUACACCACACACACACACACACCACACACACACACCACACACCACACACACACACACCACACACACACCACACACACACCAUACACACCACACACACACACCACACACACCACACACAUACCAUACACACCACCCACACACACCACCCACACACACACCAUACACACCACACACACCACACACACACACCACAUAUACCACACACACACCACACACACACACCACAUAUACACACCACACACACAUACCAUACACACCACACACACAUACCACACACACACACCACACACACACACACCACACACACACACCAUAUACACCAUACACACCAUACACACCAUACACACCAUACACACCACACACACACACACCACACACACACCACACACACACCACACACACACACACACACAUACCACACACACACCACACACCAUACACACCACACACACCAUACACACCACACACACCAUACACACCACACACACCAUACACACCACACACACUCACACACCAUACACACCACACACACAUACACCACACACCACACGCACACACACCACAUGCACACCAUACACACCAUACACACCAUACACACCACACACACACCAUACACACCAUACACACCACACACACACACCACAUAUACCACACACAUACCACACACACACAUCACAUACACACACCACACACACAUACCAUACACACCACACACACAUACCACACACACACCACACACACACACCACACACACCAUACACACCAUACACACCAUAUACACCAUACACACCAUAUACACCAAACACACCACACACACACACACCAUACACACACACCACACACACACACCACACACACACCACACACACAUACCACACACACACACCACACACACCACACACCAUAUACACCACACACCAUACACACCACACACACAAUAUACACACCACACACACACCAUACACACCAUACACACCACACACUACACACCACACACACAUACCACACACACAUACCACACACACAUACCACACACACACACCACACCACACACACAUACACACACCACAACCACACACACACCAUACACACCACACACACACCAUACACACUACACACACCACACACACCACACACACACACCACACACACACUCACACCAUACACACCACACACACACCAUACACACUACACACACACUCCAUACACAACAUACACACCACACACACCAUACACACCACACACACACACCACACACACACCACACACACCACACACACAAUUUUUUUUACAUUGAAAUUUGAGUAAAUUUGGAGAGAACCCAGCUGUAAUUAAGUCCACGCUACCUCAGUAGAUCUCACCUGCUGACUUUUCCUUUUAUGGGUUCUUCUGGAUUAAUGCAACUGUCUUUUGUGUGUCAUUUUGUGAAUAAAUCUGCACCUCUGAGAAUUGACUUGGUGAAG
rnacentral:lncRNA from 1 species